UACGUAGGGGGCAAGCGUUGUCCGGAAUCAUUGGGCGUAAAGAGCGUGUAGGCGGCCAGAAAAGUCCGCUGUGAAAACCCGAGGCUCAACCUCGGGCCUGCAGUGGGUACGGGCAGACUAGAGUGCGGUAGGGGAGAUUGGAAUUCCUGGUGUAGCGGUGGAAUGCGCAGAUAUCAGGAGGAACACCAAUGGCGAAGGCAGAUCUCUGGGCCGUAACUGACGCUGAGGAGCGAAAGCAUGGGGAGCGAACAGG
rnacentral:rRNA from 1 species